rnacentral:rRNA from 1 species
CCAAUAGCGUAUAUUAAAGUUGUUGCAGUUAAAAAGCUCGUAGUUGAAUUUCGGGAUCAGUUCGUCGGUCGUGCCUUUGGUAUGUACUGGUGUUACUGGUUCCUCCCUUCUGACGAACCGUCAUGUCAUUAAUUUGGUGUGGCGGGAAAUCAGGACUGUUACUGUGAAAAAAGUAGAGUGUUUAAAGCAGGCUCGCGCUUGAAUACAUUAGCAUGGAAUAAUUGAAUAGGACGUUCGAUCCUAUUUUGUUGGUUUCUAGGAUUGACGUAAUGAUUAAUAGGGAUAGUUGGGGGCAUUAGUAUUCAAUUGUCAGAGGUGAAAUUCUUGGAUUUAUUGAAGACUAACUACUGCGAAAGCAUUUGCCAAGGAUGUUUUCAUUAAUCAAGAACGAAAGUUAGGGGAUCGAAGACGAUCAGAUACCGUCGUAGUCUUAACCAUAAACUAUGCCGACUAGGGAUCGGAUGAUGUUAAUUUUUUAAUGACUCAUUCGGCGCCUUACG